CCGACCUUAGCUCAGUUGGUAGAGCGGAGGACUGUAGUAUUAGCAGAUUAAUCCUUAGGUCGCUGGUUCGAAUCCGGCAGGUCGGA
rnacentral:tRNA from 11 species